UUCUCAUAUCCUAGUGGUUAGAGCGUCGGCCUCUGAUACCGGAGGUCGUGGGUUCGAUCCCCGACCGAGUCAU